rnacentral:rRNA from 1 species
AACGAACGCUGGCGGCAUGCUUUACACAUGCAAGUCGAACGCCCCGCAAGGGGAGUGGCAGACGGGUGAUUAACGCGUGGGAACAUACCCUUUUCUACGGAAUAGCUCUGGGAAACUGGAAUUAAUACCGUAUACGCCCUACGGGGGAAAGAUUUAUCGGGGAAGGAUGGGCCCGCGUUGGAUUAGCUAGUUGGUGGGGUAAAGGCCUACCAAGGCGACGAUCCAUAGCUGGUCUGAGAGGAUGAUCAGACACAUUGGGACUGAGACACGGCCCAAACUCCUACGGGAGGCAGCAGUGGGGAAUAUUGGACAAUGGGGGCAAGCCUGAUCCAGCCAUGCCGCGUGAGUGAUGAAGGCCUUAGGGUUGUCAAGCUCUUUAACAGAUGAAGAUAAUGACGGUAGUCGGAGAAGAAGCCCCGGCUAACUUCGUG